GACGUAGGGCGCGAGCGUUGUCCGGAAUUAUUGGGCGUAAAGAGCUUGUAGGCGGUUUGUCGCGUCUGCUGUGAAAAUCCGGGGCUCAACCCCGGACUUGCAGUGGGUACGGGCAGACUAGAGUGUGGUAGGGGAGACUGGAAUUCCUGGUGUAGCGGUGGAAUGCGCAGAUAUCAGGAGGAACACCGAUGGCGAAGGCAGGUCUCUGGGCCACUACUGACGCUGAGAAGCGAAAGCAUGGGGAGCGAACAGG
rnacentral:rRNA from 1 species